rnacentral:lncRNA from 1 species
AUGUGAUAAAAAUUCAAAAUCAAAAUUAAGCUUAGAAAUUAGAAGAGAUUUGCACUUUUAUUUUAAUGACAUGAUAUGGUUCUCUUUCUAGGUCUUUCUGAACUUAACCAAAGAGUCGCAAAAAAAUGGUGGUAUGAGUCUUGAGCACUUAACACAACGGAAAAUUGGGAAUUCCAAUACCAAGGGCAUCUCAACUCCUGAUGACUUAUCCGUGAGCAGUAGCAACUUCACAGACAGAGAUGACAAAGUCCUGACCAGUGGAGAGCGGCUGGAUGGUUUUGGACUGUUGCUGAAGAAGAUAGUGGCCAUUCUUAUCAAGCGGUUCCACCACACCCGCAGGAACUGGAAAGGACUCAUUGCACAGGUGGUCCUUCCCAUUGUCUUUGUGAUCACUGCCAUGGGCCUUGGCACACUGCGUGCUUCCAACAACAGUUACCCAGAGAUCGAGAUCUCCCCCUCUCUUUAUGGUGCCUCUGAACAGACAGCCUUCUAUGCGUGAGUUUCCUUCUAUUAACCAAAAGAAUGAUCCCCAAAUGCUUCCAGAAUUGUGGUUGCACCCAUCUGAAUCCCUUGGAAUGCCA